CAGCCGCCGCGGUAAUACAGAGGGUGCAAGCGUUAAUCGGAAUUACUGGGCGUAAAGCGCGCGUAGGUGGUUUGUUAAGUUGGAUGUGAAAGCCCCGGGCUCAACCUGGGAACUGCAUCCAAAACUGGCAAGCUAGAGUACGGUAGAGGGUGGUGGAAUUUCCUGUGUAGCGGUGAAAUGCGUAGAUAUAGGAAGGAACACCAGUGGCGAAGGCGACCACCUGGACUGAUACUGACACUGAGGUGCGAAAGCGUGGGGAGCAAACAGGAUUAGAGACCCCCGUAGUCCCUGUCUCUUAUAC
rnacentral:rRNA from 1 species